rnacentral:rRNA from 1 species
GUCGAACGAGCGAGAGAGAGCUUGCUUUCUCGAGCGAGUGGCGAACGGGUGAGUAACGCGUGAGGAACCUGCCUCAAAGAGGGGGACAACAGUUGGAAACGACUGCUAAUACCGCAUAAGCCCACGGUGCCGCAUGGUACAGAGGGAAAAGGAGCAAUCCGCUUUGAGAUGGCCUCGCGUCCGAUUAGCUAGUUGGUGAGGUAACGGCCCACCAAGGCGACGAUCGGUAGCCGGACUGAGAGGUUGAACGGCCACAUUGGGACUGAGACACGGCCCAGACUCCUACGGGAGGCAGCAGUGGGGAAUAUUGCACAAUGGGGGAAACCCUGAUGCAGCGACGCCGCGUGGAGGAAGAAGGUCUUCGGAUUGUAAACUCCUGUUGUUGGGGAAGAUAAUGACGGUACCCAACAAGGAAGUGACGGCUAACUACGUGCCAGCAGCCGCGGUAAAACGUAGGUCACAAGCGUUGUCCGGAAUUACUGGGUGUAAAGGGAGCGCAGGCGGGAAGACAAGUUGGAAGUGAAAUCUAUGGGCUCAACCCAUAAACUGCUUUCAAAACUGUUUUUCUUGAGUAGUGCAGAGGUAGGCGGAAUUCCCGGUGUAGCGGUGGAAUGCGUAGAUAUCGGGA